rnacentral:tRNA from 2 species
AGGCGCGUAGCUCAGUUGGUUAGAGCACCACCUUGACAUGGUGGGGGUCGUCAGUUCGAGUCUGAUCGCGCCUACCA